AGUCGGACGGUAGCACAGAGAGCUUGCUCUCGGGUGACGAGUGGCGGACGGGUGAGUAAUGUCUGGGGAUCUGCCCGAUAGAGGGGGAUAACCACUGGAAACGGUGGCUAAUACCGCAUAACGUCGCAAGACCAAAGAGGGGGACCUUCGGGCCUCUCACUAUCGGAUGAACCCAGAUGGGAUUAGCUAGUAGGCGGGGUAAUGGCCCACCUAGGCGACGAUCCCUAGCUGGUCUGAGAGGAUGACCAGCCACACUGGAACUGAGACACGGUCCAGACUCCUACGGGAGGCAGCAGUGGGGAAUAUUGCACAAUGGGCGCAAGCCUGAUGCAGCCAUGCCGCGUGUAUGAAGAAGGCCUUCUGGUUGUAAAGUACUUUCAGCGGGGAGGAAGGCGAUGGGGUUAAUAACCUUAUCGAUUGACGUUACCCGCAGAAAAAGCACCGGCUAACUCCGUGCCAGCAGCCGCGGUAAUACGGAGGGUGCAAGCGUUAAUCGGAAUUACUGGGCGUAAAGCGCACGCAGGCGGUCUUGUUAAGUCAGAUGUGAAAUCCCCGGGCUUAACCUGGGAACUGCAUUUGAAACUGGCAGGCUUGAGUCUUGUAGAGGGGGGUAGAAUUCCAGGUGUAGCGGUGAAAUGCGUAGAGAUCUGGAGGAAUACCGGUGGCGAAGGCGGCCCCCUGGACAAAGACUGACGCUCACGUGCGAAAGCGUGGGGAGCACACAGGAUUAGAUACCCUGGUAGUCCACGCCGUAUACGAUGUCGACUUGUAGGUUGUUCCCUUGAGGAGUGGCUUCCGGA
rnacentral:rRNA from 1 species